GCCUGGCUAGCUCAAUCGGUAGAGCGUGAGACUCUUAAAUGACGUCAUCUCAAGGUUGUGGGUUCGACCCCCACGUUAGGCU
rfam:Rhizoctonia solani AG-1 IA unplaced genomic scaffold scaffold41, whole genome shotgun sequence.